CUCCAGUAGGAAUUACAAAUCGAGUUAGUUUUUCUGAAGGACGCUAGGCGUUGCGACGCAUAACAGUGCAUUUAACGAUUUAAGAGCAAUUCACCACAGCCAUAAUGUCAACAGAAUUAACUGAAGACGUAAUUGAAGAAAAAUGGAAUGAAUUUAAAGCAAAAUUUCGCAAAAACUACUCCGAUGCUGAAGAAGAAAGUUAUAGAAAAAGUCUCUUCGUUGUAAAUUUGCAAAUGGUAGAAAGUCACAAUGAAAAAUACGAAAAUGGAUUGGUCAAUUACAAGAUGGGAAUCAACCAAUUUGCAGAUUACUCCAAAGAAGAAAUGCCAUGUCGACAUAAAUAAAAAAAUAUUAAAUGUGUUUCAAUUUUACAUGAUGUAAUGUUAAUUUUUUACCAAAAUUUAUUUGUCUUUACUUAAUUGACCAAUUUCGAUAUAUUUGAUAAACUGUAUUGUAUUCGUAUUGUAUUGGUGAUGUAAUAACAUUAAACGUAUCUUCUCAAU